rnacentral:rRNA from 1 species
AAUCAACGCUGGCGGCGUGCCUAACACAUGCAAGUCGAGCGAGAAAAGGGGGGCAACUCCCUGAGUACAGCGGCGCACGGGUGAGUAACACGUGGGUAAUCUGCCCUGAAGUGGGGAAUAACACCGGGAAACCGGUGCUAAUACCGCAUAUGAUCACGAUGUCUGCGGACGUAGUGAUGAAAGGAGCAAUUCGCUUCAGGAGGAGCCCGCGGCUGAUUAGCUAGUUGGUGAGGUAAUGGCCCACCAAGGCAACGAUCAGUAUCCGGUCUGAGAGGACGGUCGGACACACUGGAACUGAGACACGGCCCAGACUCCUACGGGAGGCAGCAGUAGGGAAUCUUCCACAAUGGACGAAAGUCUGAUGGAGCAACGCCGCGUGAGCGAUGAAGGCCUUCGGGUCGUAAAGCUCUGUUGUUAGGGAAGAACAAGUACCGGAGUAACUGCCGGUGCCUUGACGGUACCUAACCAGAAAGCCACGGCUAACUACGUGCCAGCAGCCGCCGUAACAC